CCCUGGGCAUCCUGCUGAGCUGUCUUGGGGAGGACCCCAAGGUCCCAACCAGCACAGGGGAUCAGGAAAAGGAUGGAGGUGACUGGAGAACACAGGGAUAAUAAACACAUGACUCAGGGGCGAAGUGGUUUCAGCAGAGGGAUGGCAAUGCACGAGCAAUAAAAUGGGAGCUACCAACACCACGCUGUCUGUAACCACACACCACACUUGCUCAGCUUUCCAGGAGGUACAAGGGAGAAGAAGGAGGGAUCUGCUGAGGAGCCGUGGCACGACCCAUACCAAAACAUCCCUGUGGACACAAAAGAUGAGGAGCAAAUCCCAUCGCAACCUGGAGGGGUGCCUGGGGCCAGGAUGUGACGCGUGGUAACAGCCUGCAGAAACACCCGCCCGUCUGUCUGCAGAAAUAGCCCGAGCAGGGGGCUGGCUCCUGAGUCACGCUGGAGAAAGCGGUGAGCUGGCUGGAGGUGACCCAAAACCCCUGAGUUUCGCAGAGCCCGGCGGGGGAAAGCUUUGCUCCUCAUCCCGUGCUGCCCGAUCUGCUGCCGGCUGCCCCGUGCUCUGCUCACACUCAUGAGAUGUGUCUUGUGCUUUCCUGCACAGGGAUUUACUGACGUCGGCAACUCACGGAAAGCCACCGGAUAUUAAAAAAAAAAAAAAAAUGCACCGGGAUUAAAAAACAUGAAAA